GAUCAAAGGCUCGUGCCUUGGGUGCUCUUGUCCCUUUGGCAGAGUUGAUGCAGAGGUGAAAGAGGUGGCAGAAGUAGCUAUUGCCAUGCUUCGAGUCGUGAUGCCCAAAGUGACACCACUUGCGACGAGGACGCUCUUGUUCUUUGCGCCGGUUGCGGGAACAGUUUGAGCCUUCCUUGAUGCCAUUAAUUUUCGAAGUGCGCUUGAAUUUCGGAGAAAGAGAUGAGAGGCAGAGAUGGUCCCACUGGGCGUGCCAAUUUGUGAACACGGAAAAUUCCUGAAAACGAAAGAGACAAGAAAUGACGUGCACAAACAAAUAUUUGUAUUUGAUAGUUUUGGGUUACAAUCUUUCUCAAAUUUGAUCCUCUGAUUCGAUCUCCGUAAGGUGUUGAUUUAUGGGUGUUUCGUUGAUUCAAGGGGCCGUCGAGGCUUGAUCUUGAAUGAACAGUUGGAAGUUUCUUCAAAGGGCCGUGGGCUUAAUCUUUGAAGGUGGAUUUGAGCAGAUCUUCAAGGAGCCGUUGGGGCUUGAUCUUGAGGAUGAAUGUUUCUUCAAGGGCCGUUUGAGGCUUGAUCUUGAAUAACGGUGAUAAGUGGAUCUUCAAGGGCGUUUGGGCUUGAUCUUGAAGAACAGUGAUGAACGGAUCUUCAAGGGCUUUUGGGCUUGAUCUUGAAGAACGGUUGGAUGUGUGGAUUUGUCGACAUUUGUUGAUCCAAAUGGCCGUUGGGGCUUGAUCUUGGAUGAACGGAUGAUGAAUGAUGGUGCUUUCUUCAAGGGCCGUCGGGGCUUGAUCUUGAAUUGGUGGAUGAUUGUUGAUCCAAAGGGCCGUUGGGCCUUGAUCUUGGAUGAACAAAGAACGAAGAACACUUUCUUGAUUCUUCGGGAUUUGCUGGAUGCUUGAGAGCUUCAGAGUUUCAGAGCUUCCGAGCUUCAAGGUGUAAUCUGAAUUGGUCCCCUCAAAUGGAUGAAAUGGGCUUGUAUUUAUAGAAUUUUCCAAGGCCUAAUAUUGAAUAUAAUAUCCCAGAUGAAAUAAGUCGUUUCUGCCAGGUGUUGACACGUGUCCUAUUUGAUGACUUUUCCAACUCAUUUUUAAUUUUUGGUGAGUCACAUGCUACGUGUAAAAUUUAUGUAAUACAUGAGCAUUGACACUUUGAUUUAUCGGUCAACAUUUAUUUACCGAAAUUUCGAUGUCUACAAUAGUUCCAUAAUUUUUUGGGUGCCCACGUGGCAUUCACCCAAUGGUUAGACAAAAAUAUCACAUGUCCAAUUAAUUAUCAGUUUACAAAAAUAUCCUCGACGUUCAAAAGCUCAUGAAAUCUUCGUUAUAUUCUAAAUCACAUUUUGUUUACGCCCACACUUUCAUAGCAACGAAUACUACAUGGAUACGUUGAGAAAAUAAAUCUUACAUGACACAAUAAGGAGGUCAAAAAAGUCAAUGCAUUUACCUCGAAGGGCAUUUUCGUAAAUUCACUUAUUAAAAUUAUAAAAACCGUAAAAUUGGGAACGGGUCGUUACAUUUUACUCCCUUAAGAAAAAUUUCACCCCCAAAAUUUAAAAUAACUUGUUAAAUGUAAAAUACUCAAAAAUAAGGAGAAAACGUGUAUAUAAAUACAUAUACAAAGAAGAAAUCGAGUUAGAGGGGCUGCAUAAAAGAAAUUGCCAUUCCGUUGCGAUCGGAUUGCAAUGAUUCCUCUUUCAUGCCUCGAAGCUCAUACUUUCCUUCUCCGUUAGCACAAUACUAAAAUCUAGGGUAAAUUACAUAGUAACCCCUCAGGUUUGAGAUCUAUUACAACCCCAUACAACAUCUUUAAAACAUUUCACUUUCAUACCUCACAUACCAUUAUAUUUCAAAAUAAUACCUCUGUUAGAUUUUCCAUCCAUUAGUCUGUUAAGUGCUGAUGUGGCUGCCACAUUUGCGCCACGUGGCUGCCAAAUGUGUGCCACAUGGAAAAAAUAAUUAUUUUUUUAUUUAAAAAAAAACCUGAAUCUUCUUAAAAAAAAAAAAAAUUGAAACACCCCCAUGAAC
rnacentral:lncRNA from 1 species